GCUUUAUCUAGAUGCAUUUGAAAAGCUGCCCAUUUGAUCUCCUCUGCACUCAACGGUUGUAACAAUCUAUCAUUGUCCAAAUUAGAUACUUUGGGAGACAUCGUCUCUAUAACUCGAUUUCAAUCUCUAACAGAAGGGGAAAACAACCCUUAAAAAACCUCAAGUAUAUGGGUCUACAUGCCUGAUUUUUCUCGAAUCCACUCGUCAGUCAUAUCUUUGAGGACAGUAAUAGAAUUUUGACGCCGUUGUUUAGAUGCUUGUCUAUUAAAAAAUCUUGAAUUUCUAUCUCUUUGGGAUAACCAAUGAGACUUAGCUCUCUGUCUCCACUAACACUCCUCCUGUUCCAAUAGCUAUAU
rnacentral:lncRNA from 1 species